GAUCAGUGAAUCAGUUACAUAAUGCAGAGGGCCACAAAGGAAGCCCACCGGGUCAUGUGCUUCACGGGGAGUGGUGCAGCCGAGCCUAGUUCUCUGACUCUGUCGGGUUUCAGGCCCUAAUGGGUCUGUUGGCGUCAGGAGCUGUCUUCUUUGGAGGAGCUCACUGAGUGCAGGCUGGCCUGUCUCCACCAGCGGACUGGAAGAUCUAAUGGAAACCAGGAAGGAAUGGUGUUUGUGUUGGCAUCCAUGGGCCCUGUAGCCCUGCCAACUCCCACAGCAUGUGACAUUGUCAGGGGACUGGAGGUGUGAAGCAGAAGUCACCCGGAGAGGAUCAUGCUGCUGCCUGCUUCCAGUCACAUCAUAUGACCCUCUGCGGAUCGAGAGCUGAGAGCUUCCUCCCCACCGGCCCUUCCCCGGCACUGGCUCCACAUCUCCAGGAGUAGCAGCAUCGGAGUCUACUGAGCAGAGCCGAUCUCCCUCUGCCUGGCUUUCGGAAACUGAGGUCCCUACCUCCUGCGGCUGGACUCAUCUCCAAGCUUCAGUGUCUCUCUCCCGUCCUGUUCAUCAGCCUGGCUCUCGCUACCCUCACCUCAGAGCAGGCAGGGUCUCAAUAGGGUGAGCUGCUCAGGGGGCAUCUCCACUCUUGCCAGGCAAUCAUCUCUCUUGCAGCCCCUCCCCUGCUGCCGACUGUUCUUCAGGGAGAAGGCUCGCUGGCAGGGUGGCAGGCUGCCCACCAAUGGGGGCCAUGCCAAGUGUGAUGUGAUGUGUGCUGAUCCCUCUCCAUGCCUUGCCGAAGACCAGGGCUGAUGCACCCGCAGGCUGGGGAGCCUGGGCUGUUCUCUCAUCAUCACCCUGGGGGGGAGGAUGUCACAGUGAAUAGAGGGCUCCCUUGUGUUAUAGGUGGAAAGGCCAUUCCGAAAGUCUCUCCUAGACCCCUUAUGUCUGGUCUUGUGCCCCCAGUUUAUGGGGGCUCUGAGCACUAUUCAGGGUGUCAUAUUAGUUGUAACCCCAGUGGGAAUGGAGGGGCCGUGAGUGGCAGAACCUCCCACCCCAGCAUACUAAAGAUAUUUUCCUGUAUCCCCUGCCUAACUCUGUCUGUUGAAGUCUCAGGCUCCAGGAGAGAGCGUGAGGGGUUUGAGGGACAGAAGGAGAAACGGGCAGUGUUAAGCACAGCACCAGUACAGUUUGAAGAGUUCCUUUCUGUUCCCUUUCUGACAGGCCUGUCUGUGACGGGCUGUGCCAGGCAAGAGGAAGGCUGAGGACCUGGGGUAGCCCAUCAUUCUCAGAUAUAAUAAAUUCUUGAGAUUAUCAUGCA